UCUACUUUCAGCUGCUUUUUCGCAAUAGACGGCGCAGAACUCCAACGCCCAAAUCGUCCAAUAAGAUAGAUCCGCUCCAAUUCUCUCUCUCUCUCUCUCUCUCUCUCUCCUCGGACGUUAUCGAAAGAUAACAGUUGACUCUGAGAUCUAGGGUUUCAAAUUUCAAUCUCUCUCCCUAUUUUCAAUCUAAAUUACAAAAGUUCAUCCAAUCCAUCCGUAAGUUAUCUUUUCCGUACACCAUUUCUAUGCAUUCAUAGACAUCCAUUUGCACGCACAAAUUUUGAAUUUUUCUGUAUCUGUUCACCAGCUAUAGAAAUGGAAAGUAAUUAUUCAGCUCUUCCCAAGAACUCAUUUGUAGAAUUACAAUUGCAAGAUGAUAACUUUGGAUCGAGAAACCCUAGAUCUUCUCCCAAAGACACGUCUCUGAAACUCCUCCCUCUACAUGGUGACCAAAACCAUUUGAAACAACACAAUGUAGAUCCGGAGAUGGACGACGACAUCGAUUUUGAUAACCUGCCCCUUAUUUUCGGGGGUAGCAACACCGGGUCCGGGAUUUACGGGGCCGUUUUUAACCUCACCACAUCGAUUAUCGGGGCCGGGAUUAUGGCCCUCCCCGCCACAAUGAAAGUUUUGGGUUUGGUUUUAGGGGUUGUUUUGAUUUUCUUGAUGGGUAUUCUUUCUGAGUUUAGUGUUGAAUUGCUUGUUCGGUUUACGGCUCAGUGUAAGGCGGCUUCUUAUGGUGAGGUUGUACAAGCUGCGUGUGGUAGGCCUGCUAGGAUUUUGUCCGAAAUUUGCAUAAUUGUGAACAAUGCCGGUGUUUUGGUAGUUUACUUGAUUAUUAUCGGUGAUGUUAUGUCUGGUUCACUGCAUCAUGUUGGGGUAUUUGAUCAGUGGUUGGGAAAUGGUGUGUGGGAUCAUCGAAAGCUGGUGAUUUUAGUUGUCCUUGUGAUUUUUCUUGCACCACUUUGUGCCUUGGAUAAGAUUGAUUCGUUGAGCUUGACUUCAGCUGCUUCAGUAGCUCUUGCUGUUGUCUUUGUUUUGGUUGCUUUCCUCAUCGCGAUUAUUAAGCUUGUUGAAGGCACUAUUGAGGCUCCAAGAAUGACACCUGAUUUUGGGUCGAAGCAGGCUAUUUUGGAUUUGCUUGUGGUGAUUCCAAUCAUGUCGAAUGCUUAUGUGUGCCAUUUCAAUGUUCAGCCUAUUUAUAAUGAGCUUGAAGGACGGUCGAUUCAGAAGAUGAAUCAAGUUGGAAGGAUCACUACUGUUCUUUGCGUUGUGAUUUAUGCUUCAACUGCCAUUUCAGGUUAUCUACUCUUUGGAAAGAACACUGAAGCCGAUGUGCUGACUAACUUCGAUAAAGACCUUGGAAUUCGUUUUAGCACGGCUUUGAACUACAUUGUCCGAAUCGGGUACGUUUUCCACUUGGUUCUUGUUUUCCCUGUUAUCCAUUUCUCCCUCCGGCAAACAGUGGAUUCCUUGGUGUUUGAGGGAUCAGCUCCCCUGUCUGAGAGUAGGAAGAGGUCUUUGGGCUUAACUGCAGUACUUCUGUUACUUAUAUAUCUCGGAUCGACAGUGAUUCCCAACAUUUGGACUGCUUUUAAGUUCACAGGGGCAACUACGGCUGUCUCGUUGGGUUUUAUAUUCCCGUCGCUUAUUGCGUUAAGAUUAGGUAAACAAGGGCAUGGUUUGACCCACAUCGAGAAGCUUUUGUCUUGGUUCAUGUUGGUAUUGGCAAUGAUAGUCAGCAUCGUUGGGGUUGUUGGAAAUAUCUAUAGUCUCAAAAGCAAAUCCGAAUAACUCUCUCCUUUUCAAACGAGGGUAUUCUUUACUUCUGUGUCAAUUUGAUGAACGCCCCAGAAUGGAAGGGUAAAUUUCACUAAUUCUUAUUGUUGCUGCCCUCCUUGUACGGUUCACUGAAGUGAAGAUAAUUUGGCAUGAAGUAGACAGUUCACCAAUGAGAUGAAUGUUGCAACACAUCAUGUCGAUAUGUGCUGAUUUGAUCAGGAACUGGUGAUAAGGCCUUGUAUUUCUCGUAACGUAACUACCACAUGAAUGUCUGGGCCAGCUUACGCGCACCUCAACUCUUUCCCUUUGUCCGGUCAAAAGACAAGUCAUCAGUGCCGAAACUAGAGGAUUUACAAGAGAUUUCUCUAUUGCAGCCCGACCCCAAGAGGUUGGCAAGUUUCGAACUCGCUAGGUUUACAGCUUAUCCUUGUUGGCUUGUUGCCACUAGAACUACCUUGAUAUUUAUGUGGGCAUUUAUGCCCACGUCAACAAAUAAUGAGUAAAGUACCUCUCUAUGAUAUGGGCAUUAAUGAUCAAGAUAAAAUAGUAAAGGGGCCUUUGUUUAGAGUGCUUGCAACUUGCAAGUGCGAUACUCAAAUGAUAAGUUUGUGGUCCUAUGGCUCACGUGCCCCAGUCUGAGGUCUAUUUA